GGAGUGGUCGGUAACUGGGGUGAAGUCGUAACAAGGUAGCCGUAGGGGAACCUGCGGCUGGAUCACCUCCUUUCUAAGGAG
rnacentral:rRNA from 1 species